rnacentral:rRNA from 1 species
GGGCUUGACAUCCCACGAACCUGGAAACAUGGUCUUCCACUUCGGUGGACCGGGUGACAGGUGCUGCAUGGCUGUCGUCAGCUCGUGUCGUGAGAUGUUGGGUUAUGUCCCGCAACGAGCGCAACCCCUGCCUUUAGUUGCCAUCAUUAAGUUGGGCACUCUAGAGGGACUGCCGGUGUUAAACCGGAGGAAGGUGGGGACGACGUCGAGUCCUCAUGGCCUUUAUGCCCAGGGCUACACACGUGCUACAAUGGGCGGCACAAAGGGCAGCGACGCCGCGAGGUGUAGCAAAUCCCAAAAAACCGUUCUCAGUUCGGAUCGGAGUCUGCAACUCGACUCCGUGAAGUUGGAAUCGCUAGUAAUCGUGGAUCAGCAUGCCACGGUGAAUACGUUCCCGGGCCUUGUACACACCGCCCGUCACACCACGAAAGUCUGCUGUACUCGAAGUCGCUGAG